rnacentral:sRNA from 1 species
GGCUAGGGGCGGGAAGGGCGGACGGCCGCGGCCCGGAACCUUUCGGAAGUGGUGCAAGCAGAUUAUCAGUUCAAGACCUGAUUUGGCCAUAUACGAGGCCACCAGGGCUUCACAAGACCAGCUAAAAACCACAGCAUGGUUCCUGCCACCUGUCAGAUAUCUCAAAACCACCUGUACACCAACUCUAGAGUAUCGUACACCCAAUUCUGGACUCCUGUACCCACAACUUUUUAACACCAAGACAAAAAUCAAAAACGUUUACCAAGGUAAAAUAUUCCCAAUUGAUUUGUGUAAUUUAGUUAUUGGUUGUUCCACAUCUCAGUCUUUGCAAACCCCUUCACCUGCUUUUCUCUUUUCUAGUUCCACACUGGAUAUACAGCUCAGUGGUGUAUCACUUCCACCGUGUACCUAAAUAAGUGACUACAAACUUUCAUAAGGAUAUAUCGACAGUAUCUGGGGAACUGAUUGUGGGGCAUCUCUACAGAUGAGGUUCAGAAAAGUGCCUUAAAUGAAACCCCCAUCCCAUUUACUGCACUGGUAUACUUGCCUAUUGCUGAUAUGUCAAGGACUUAAGCUGCGUACUCAUCUCUGUACUUAUGAAUUACCAAUCAGUCUAUACCAUGAAGUAGGUGUUAAGUAAUUAUCCUUGGGGGGGGGGGGGUGUCCAAGAUAGGGUUUCUCUUGUAUACCCCUGGCUGUCCUGUAAUUAGCUCUGAAGACCAGGAAGGCCUCUAUCUAAGCCAUCCACCUGCCUCAGGUAAUUAAAUGAUGAUGAAGAAUUCAGACCCCAAUUCCUGGCUCUAGCUAGAUGCCUGCUUGGUCUGAUUUUUAGAUGUGAGCACUGAGAUCAGGGUCCCAGGGCCUGAAAGCCCAAAGAAAUGUAUGUACUGCCUGUCUAGCUUACAUGUAAGAAAAGCUGAGUGCGUUUAUUUGAUAUCCUUGAGGUCCUAGGAAUGAUCCUCAGACCUUGAGCUAGAGUCUUUCUAGAAUCAGGUAGACAUGAAUGGGGACAGGGCAAAGGUUGGGCAAAAACUAACAAAAUCAUUUACAUAUAAGGGCUAGAGAGAUGGCUCAGUGGUUAAGAGCACUGACUGCUCUUCCAGGGGUCCUGAGUUCAAUUCCCAGCAACCACAUGGUGGCUCACAGCCAUCUGUAAUGGGAUCGGAUUUCCCCUUCUGAUGUACAUGAAGACAGAGUACAUACAUAAAAUACAUAAAAAUAUAUGAAAUAAAAUGUUAAAAAUCAUUACAUAUAACUCAAAUGUUCCCAGGAUCCUGUACCCUGUAGACACAAAGUCUUAGUACCAGAUAGGUUUCACGAACUCUACAGCUUUUUCUCUUUGGGCAACUGGCGACUGAUUUCAUUUAGGUGGUACUGGGAGGUGAUCCUGUGCCAGGGAAGUGUCCUGCCACUGAGCUACAUCCUUGCCCAAAGAUUCAAAGCUGCCUUUGCCACCCAGAAUUUCCCUAGGACCUUGGCCAUGGUUCACCUCACUUCUCUGCCUCACCUCUCUCCAUCUCUCACUCUGUCAGCCUCCCACAUUCCCCAAGCUAUCAUGGCUUACCUUCCUUUACCAGUAGAGAAACUCUGCCUCUUCUGUACUCUGAUCUUCAAAGGCCUCAAAGCAAUACUGUCAGUCAAAAUGUUGGUAUGGGGAGUAGCCAAAAUACACUCUAACGUACACAGCUCUCUCAUCCUCAGGACAUGGACUUGCUAACCUGCUUGUCCCUCAGCACAGCAGAGUUCUGCUCAUCAAACUAAACAGCUUUUUCCAUGGUCAGUUUUCUCUUGAGUCAGCAGGUUCCCUUUCCCAGGUUCACCAAGUACAACUCUUACAAAACAUAUAUUUAGUUAUAUUGAAAACAAUUGUAACCUUUUCUAUAGUAAAUACAUUUUCGAGGAGCAAAUGGUUAAGCUUGAGACCGAGCUAGUAUUAAUGAUAACAACAUCUUCAAAGUAUGAGAAUACAAACUGUUUUCAAAGGCAUAUGCUUCCCAAACUGUUUGUUACACAGCAUUCUCAUACCACCUGCAGUGAGGUACACAGGUAAGUGUAAGAUCUGAGGAACUUGUGUUGUCUUUAAAAACAGAUACUCCUCACUACCUGAGAGGGCAAGUGAGGAUCUGUACUGACCCAUUUCGUACAAUGUAUCUCAUCCCCACUGGGGCAAGUAACCAGGUAACUUAAGGUAGGAUUCGGUUAAGCCAGACGAGUAUAUCCAUCCAUUCCCCACUCACUCAUCCCCCAGUAGUUGUUCAGUGAUUACUCUGCCUGAGGCAUUGCUCUGAUAAAGGAGACAUCAGGAGCAGGGAAGCAUCACUCUCAUCCAUCUACAAGCUUACAAAACAAUGGGAGGAACCGCCAAGUAACUAGGAAGCAGCACAAUGGCACACAGUACGGCCCGAGCCCCGACUCAAGGGGGUGAGGUUCAGAGGUGAUGCUGGAGCUGUAACUUGAAAUAAAUUGUCCACACAUCCUUUUUCAGAAGGGGGAUAAGGAAGUACUCCAAUAAUACUUAAUACAGGAGUAAAAGCAAAAGCCGAUAGAUGCUCUACAAAUUGCCACUUCUGAUGUUCACAGAUGAAGACUGUCGACUCUGCAAACUGAGGUGGUCCUGCUGCUACUAAUUUAAGAUGCCAAAAUAAAAGAUGUGUGUGAGUUCAAGUUUAUGAGGCAAGACCUCAUGUAGCCAGGCUCUCCUUGAACAAGUCUUGUGCAGCUGAUGGUGGCCACGAACUCAUCUUCCUGCCUCUUCCUCAGAAGUGCUAGCAUUGCAGGGGCACAGUUCUUUAAUGAGACUACUUCCUGAAUGUACUAGGAAAUUUCUCUUCUUCUCCAUUAGAGAGAAUAAAAAGGGCAUGAAGGCACAAAAUGGAAAUUUGAAAUCCAACUGCAGAAGUUAUUAUGCAACUGAGGCAUUGUGGAAACCUCCUGAGUUUACAAAGGAGACCUCCGAUGGCACUCAUGGCACAGCCACUGUUUCCUUAGACUCCAGAGGAAAUGAUCGCUGUGGGAUUUCUUCACAAACUCCAAAGGAUUUCUACAUUAAAA